rnacentral:rRNA from 1 species
ACGCACGCUGGCGGCGUGCUUCACACCUGCCAGUCGAACGGAAAGGCCCUGCUUUUGUGGGGUGCUCGAGUGGCGAACGGGUGAGUAACACGUGAGUAACCUGCCCUUGACUUUGGGAUAACUUCAGGAAACUGGGGCUAAUACCGGAUAGGAGCUCCUGCUGCAUGGUGGGGGUUGGAAAGUUUCGGCGGUUGGGGAUGGACUCGCGGCUUAUCAGCUUGUUGGUGGGGUAGUGGCUUACCAAGGCUUUGACGGGUAGCCGGCCUGAGAGGGUGACCGGCCACAUUGGGACUGAGAUACGGCCCAGACUCCUACGGGAGGCAGCAGUGGGGAAUAUUGCACAAUGGGCGGAAGCCUGAUGCAGCAACGCCGCGUGCGGGAUGACGGCCUUCGGGUUGUAAACCGCUUUCGCCUGUGACGAAGCGUGAGUGACGGUAAUGGGUAAAGAAGCACCGGCUAACUACGUG